GCCGGAGCGCGCCCGGCAGCUGCUGCGCCUCCUGCGCCAGGACCUGGGCCUUGAGAGGACCCUCCUUCCUGAUAUCCUCUACAGAGAUGUGGCCUUCCUCAACCCGGUCGACCCCAUCUCCCAUGACCUGCUUGUGAACCUGGCCCGGGACCUGCAGUGCCCCAAGAAGGACCCUCAGAGUCCUGGGCAGACCCAUUUUCUGUGUGGCAGCACUGUGCACCAGGCCUGGGGGCCCAGACCAGGAAGACUAUAGCUGGGCAGAAGUCAUAUGGGGACCCUGCGGGUCACAGACUGUUCUGAGAAAUCCACCAACGGAAACAAACUCCUAGCCUCUGAAUUCCUGGGCCAGAAGAGAGCCGCUCUCGGCUAGAGCCCCCGUCUGUCCGCAGGUCUCCAUCCUGUACAGACACCCUUGCGGACGGGUGCUCACUGCUUUCCCCUACAACAGCUGGGGUCAUAAGCAAGGCCCUCCUCCUUGCUGGGGUGGAGUUUGCCACCUGCAGCCUCCACCCCACAGCUGCCCAGAACCCCAUGCUGACAGCACCUGCAGAUGUCCUGCCAUGAGCAUCGACACAGCCCCAGGAUGUGUGGCUGUGACCAGCCACCGGACCCAGACUC
rnacentral:lncRNA from 1 species